rnacentral:rRNA from 1 species
CCUACGGGUGGCUGCAGUGGGGAAUAUUGGACAAUGGGGGGAACCCUGAUCCAGCCAUGCCGCGUGUGUGAAGAAGGCCCUCGGGUUGUAAAGCACUUUCAGUGAGGAAGAACGCCUGGUGGUUAUUACCCAUCAGGAAAGACAUCACUCACAGAAGAAGCACCGGCUAACUCCGUGCCAGCAGCCGCGGUAAUACGGAGGGUGCGAGCGUUAAUCGGAAUUACUGGGCGUAAAGCGCGCGUAGGUGGCUUGAUAAGCCGGUUGUGAAAGCCCCGGGCUCAACCUGGGAACGGCAUCCGGAACUGUCAAGCUAGAGUGCAGGAGAGGAAGGUAGAAUUCCCGGUGUAGCGGUGAAAUGCGUAGAGAUCGGGAGGAAUACCAGUGGCGAAGGCGGCCUUCUGGACUGACACUGACACUGAGGUGCGAAAGCGUGGGUAGCAAACAGGAUUAGAUACCCCUGUAGUC